rnacentral:rRNA from 1 species
GACGGCAGCAUGGAGAGCUUGCUCUCUGAUGGCGAGUGGCGAACGGGUGAGUAAUAUAUCGGAACGUGCCUAGUAAUGGGGAACAACUAACCGAAAGGUUAGCUAAUACCGCAUACGACCUACGGGAGAAAGCAGGGGAUCUUCGGACCUUGCGUUACUAGAGCGGCCGAUAUCUGAUUAGGUAGUUGGUAGGGUAAAGGCCUACCAAGCCGACGAUCAGUAGCUGGUCUGAGAGGACGAUCAGCCACACUGGAACUGAGACACGGUCCAGACUCCUACGGGAGGCAGCAGUGGGGAAUUUUGGACAAUGGGGGCAACCCUGAUCCAGCCAUUCCGCGUGAGUGAAGAAGGCCUUCGGGUUGUAAAGCUCUUUCGCAAGAGAAGAAAUCUUACUAUCAAAUAAAUAGUAAGGAUGACGGUAUCUUGACAAGAAGCACCGGCUAACUAUGUGCCAGCAGCCGCGGUAAUACAUAGGGUGCGAGCGUUAAUCGGAAUUACUGGGCGUAAAGGGUGCGCAGGCGGUUUUGUAAGUCAGAUGUGAAAUCCCCGAGCUCAACUUGGGAACUGCGUUUGAAACUAUAAGACUAGAGUGUGUCAGAGGGGGGUAGAAUUCCACGUGUAGCAGUGAAAUGCGUAGAUAUGUGGAGGAAUACCAAUGGCGAAGGCAGCCCCCUGGGAUAACACUGACGCUCAUGCACGAAAGCGUGGGGAGCAAACAGGAUUAGAUACCCUGGUAGUCCACGCCCCUAACGAUGUCUACUAGUUGUUGGUGGAGUAAAAUCCAUGAGUAACGCAGCUAACGCGUGAAGUAGACCGCCUGGGGAG